CGCCCAGCGGCCCGUGCGUGUUGUAGUUCACCGUCAUGACCUUCACCGAGUCCUUGAACACCACGUCGCCCUGGCUCAGGGCUCCAGUUUCAAAAUGAAGAGUUUAAACUGCACGAUCUCUAACACUGGCCAGAAAACAAAUCGAGCUGCACAAGGACAAGGAAGGUUCCAAUACAAGGCCCCAGAGUUAGUGCAUGCACAUCAAUGACCCUCAAACGGACAGCCAUUGUCACAUGCCUAGCACAGCCUGCCUGUAACUGCAGAGACCGGCUUCUCGAGUGGCGUUUUACCACCGGACUAGCCCACCGUCCACCCUACCACAUGGCUCAGGGCGACAGGGACGUGCAUGUGAGGAUGUGGACAGCAAAGACGCUUGGAGUCGCAAGCACAGGAAGCUCCCUUAGUGUCUUGGACGGGGAAAUACAAUCGAAGCCUAAAGGGAAACGCCACCUUCGUGUGAGCCCGGUGCCCCGCGGUCUUUCCCAAGGACGAUCGCGGUCUGUCUCUGGAGUGGGCCAACGCCAUGUCGGGACCUCACUCUGCUGCUGACCCAGGCUGUUCCCCUUGAAGGACUGCAGGGAGGGUGAGGCGUCCACCUGAGGUAAGAACGUGAGGCCACUGUCACGAUGCUCGGGCCGGUCUGUCCUUGCUGUCAGCCCAACGUCGUCCUGAUCCUGGGAGACAGCCAGCUGCGGGGAGGGGCCCUAAUUCUUCUCGUGUCCCUUGCAGGUUCACAGGACAUGGCCACGGGAGGUUACACGGAAGAAUUCAUGGAAGAAUACCGUCAUGGAAGAGCUCCGCCAAGCCAGAGGGAUUUGCUUUUAGUUUGGUUUAGUAUAUUCGAGGUGGGUUGUUUUAAAUAGUUUUUAAGUGUUUCUUGUUGGUUACUUACAGAGCGCUACCUGGGGUUGAUUUCAGGGCUGGGGCUCGUUUAGUGGAUGAGCCCUAACUGAAAUCCUCCUCCGUCGGAGACUCGCUCCCCUAAGAAAGUGCUCCGGCUGGCCAGCAGCGCUCGGCCUCUGGAACCACCCGCUCCCGCUCCCGGGAGGAAGGGCAGACCGAGCAGGGAAGGCCGCGCUGCCCAGCCACAAAGCCCCAGAGACUGCACGCCGGGCACGGCCCCCAGGGAGGAAAGGAGGCUGGCCGCAGGCGACAGCUGAGAUGCCGUGAGGGGCUGACACGCUGCCCCAAGCCCUGUGUUUGUGAACAGAACCCGAACGUGGGUCCUCUCCCGCCCCAGUUCCCACACCCUGCCCAGGAACUUUCCAUUUGGCCAAAAGCCCCAGCGGGUGCUAAGGACAUGUGACUAGUGUUGACAGUGCAGAUUCUUUUUACACCGAGAGAAUUCAGACAUUCCCAUUAUCAAGAGGGGUCUCCACUAGAAAGUGACAUCGACUUUGGCCCUCAGACCCGUCACCAGCGAAAGUACGACCCCCGUUACAAAGCUGUGUAAAGUGACGAGGGGUCCGUUAUUGUGCGAUAAUUAAUGCGCAUGACUGCAGGCUCUGCCCGGAGCUCGACACGCCUGCUUACCGUGUCAGAUGUCAGCGGAGGGAGACGCUCCUGAAAAUCAAAGCACCGAAGCUAAAGCAGCGGCCUCCCUUCUGCCCUUGGCCGGUGCAGAGUUCCAGCGCCGCGGUCCCAUCAGGGAGGUCCUGGGGCGUGCCUUUUCCAACAGUGCAGUCCUUUCAUCCCAAACGCAGGUAAGAAAAGAUCUCCCAGGGCCCCGUGGUGGGACGGGAUGAACCCACACAGGAAGAAGCAGAUGCAACGGCCCUGGGCAUGACUGUCUCUGACUCAAGGAAGCUUCCCCUCCCGACGCUGUUCCACACGGACUCCCGGUCCCCAGUUCCUAAGUCACCGCCUCAGCGCUCCUCCAUGGCCCCGGCAGUCACUUUGUCAACGCUCGGAGAGAGUGGCUCCCCGGACAGACAACUGUUCCAUCCCAACGACGCCUGGGUAGAAACCCCUCCUCCCAAAUACUCCUAAUAUCCACCAGCUACCCCUAAAUAGCUCGGGAUCGAAUUCAGAUGUGCCCCUGCACUGGGAGCGUAGCUUCCUGGCAGAGACGAGCACGAUCUUAAACUCGGACGGAACCAGAGGGAGCCGUGCUGGGAAGCCUCCCCCAGGCCCUCUCCCAGAAAGAGGUGCCGGGCUGUCCUGGGGCUGCGCCCCACCUCUAGUACCUCCCCCUGCACUGCACAGGUGGGAGGCAGCACGGGGGAGGAAGCCCCAGGGGAGAGGGCACCCACGGCUAACGGGGACGGCCUCCCACCAGGGCAGGGGCAGGGGGCUCCAGCCGUCUGCUUUGGCUACAGGGAGGGCCCUACACAAGGCUGCCCGUAACAGGGCACGGCGAGCCGAGCCUGGGAGUAGCAGAUGGGCCCAAGAGGAGCAUGGCGGCAUCUCUUCCCUGGGCCCAGCGGAGAUGUACUGAGUUAUAGCUAAGGAAUAAAAGUGUGAUAUCCCUU